rnacentral:lncRNA from 1 species
GCACAAAGUCCUGAAAUUUUUUUAGAAUUUUGUGACAGUUUUUUAAAUUUUAUUUGUCAUAAUUAGGAGUGAUUGUAUGAAAAAUUAGUUUGGUUGGCAGUUUUGCAAAUAAUAGAAGAGAAUAUCCUCAAAUUUUAGGCACAUUAGUGCACUAUCUCGAUACAUUAUUUGCCCCUUAUUGAUAAUAAUUAGUGUACAUUGUCUCUAAUUUCAAAGGAUUUUUUGAUCUCUAAUUUCUAAGGGAUUUUUGGGUUAUUUUCCUAAAAUUUUCUAAGCUUUUGACUUAUGAAAGUCUAGAGGGGUUUAUAUAGGCUUCAAACUGGUGUCUAAUCCAAUUAGAAUUGGAAGUAAAUCCAUCUUUAGGCUUGAUGAUAGGAUUUGACUAGUUGAUUGGGCAAAGUAAUUAGACUUCUACAGGUUUUAAGAUUUUAGAAUACUCCCAAAAAACACCUUCCAGAAGUAAAAUCCAAAGUUCGGCCAAUAUCGAAAAGUGUUAGUUUGAACAAUAGAUAGUUUCCCAAAAAAUUCGAUCCAGUUCUGGGUUUGUGGCGAAAUAUCGCAUCGUGAGCCCAUUGGGCCAACUAGAGCAUAUUGUAGUGCUGGCUUGAUCUGGCCGAAAAUCUCCUAGAUGAUGCUAGACAGCUUUCUGAUCCCUUUAUUGGUAGUUUGAUCCAAUUUGAAGGUGUUUAUGUGGUUCUGAUUUGAGGUUUUCGAUGGUUUGCAUGUUGUUCUGGAUAAGUUUGGAUCAAUAACAACAUAUUUAGACAGAUUUGGGUUGUUUUUUUUAGAUAGGUUAGAAUUGACUAGAUUUAGGAAUAUUUUCUUAGAUUUGAUGGUUUUGGGAAUAUUCCCUAGGGAUUCCUUGAGACUGUGGACUAUGGUGGGCCUAUGAAGCUAGUGUGGUCCUCAAGGAUUUAAAGCCAUAGUUUAUGGGAAUUCUUUUAGCCAAAAUUUGAAGGAGGUGUCUACAGUAAAUAUUUUAUUUUUAUUUG